GAUGAAGAACGUAGCGAAAUGCGAUAAGUAAUGUGAAUUGCAGAAUUCCGUGAAUCAUCGAGUCUUUGAACGCACAUUGCGCCCCCUGGUAUUCCGGGGGGCAUGCCUGUCCGAGCGUCAUUGCUGCCCUCAAGCACGGCUUGUGUGUUGGGCCCCGUCCUCCGAUUCCGGGGGACGGGCCCGAAAGGCAGCGGCGGCACCGCGUCCGGUCCUCGAGCGUAUGGGGCUUUGUCACCCGCUCUGUAGGCCCGGCCGGCGCUUGCCGAUCAACCCAAAUUUUUAUCCAGGUUGACCUCGGAUCAGGUAGGGAUACCCGCUGAACUUAAGCAUAUCAAUAAGCGGAGGA
rnacentral:misc_RNA from 1 species